GGUCUGGAACUCCUGGCCUCAAGUGAUUCGCACAAAGUGCUGGGAUUACAUGUGCGAAAAACCACACCCAGCUGGUUCCAGGCCCUCUCUAAGGCACCAGACUUUUCCAUCUGCAUUCUGACUCACAUAGUCAGACUUAAAUCCCCAGGGCCCACCAAGAAUAGCCCAGAACUCCUUGAGGGAGCCCUAGAACUGACCAGUGUUCUGAGGCAUCUUCCAGGCUGAGCUACAUGAGCCAUUAGCAGACCUUGGGUGAGAGCUAAAAUUAUCAUAAGCCAUGUGCUCCCCACUUAUGUCCCGGGGUUCCUCUCGGGCAUCUCCGGUGUGUUGUGGAGCAUCUGUGAUAGAGGACUGUUGUCAGCAAUCAGCUCUGUCUGCCAGAGGGGCACCAGCAGCUCUUUUCUGAGGAGGAGGCUGUCCCUCAAAGAGUCUUAAUUGUGAGGCCAAUUUUAUUCUCAUCAUUAUACUUUCCUUUGAAAUGGCUGUUUCCUAUUUCAAGACCCAGCUCAAAUGCUACUUUUUCCCCUGUAGGCUCCCAAUUUGAACAGAAUAAUUGACUCCAUAAAGUGCUGUCUGUGUGCCAUAGCAUUUUUUUUUAUUUUGAUAUGGAGUUUCACUCUUGUUGCCCAGGCUGGAGUGCAAGUGCCAUAGAAUUUUAUCUACAUCAAUAGUGAAACUAGCAUUUUAUCUACAUCAAUAGUGAAACUUAACACACAAGUAUCUAAAAUGUGUCUGCCUAUGUCAAUAACACGUUUAUUGACUUAAUUCCCUCAAAAAACAGUAUGAUGGAGAUAAAAGACAGACAUUCUAUUUCUAAUUAUUUCCACAAAUUUAUUGAGAACCUACUAACAGGUUAGACACUGGCAUGACCUGAAGAUGCAAUUAUGAAUAAGACACACAUAAUGCUUGCCUUCAGGGAGCUUUCAGUCUUUUCUACUUUCAUGUCUUGAUUCCUCAAUUCAUUUUUGCUUUCCCUGAUAAAUCAAAUGUUGCUUCAGGUGGUGGUGAGCCAAGUCGGACUAUUCCUUCUUGCUUACCUGAGAGGUGAAUGAACAUCCAGGGGAAGGGGCUGCUGCUGCUGGUGGUAGGAGAAGCAGCAGGUGGCUUGGCAGAAUUAUGUCCUCCUUCUGACUGCACUCAUGAUGAUUGUAGCAUGCCCAGUUUCUUCAGUUCUCUCCAACAGGAACCACAGAUGAUCUCAGUGGUGGCCUUGUGCAUCUUGCUAAUCACAGGUUGGGUCUUGUGAGUGUAGGCUUGAUCUCCUGGAGUAGGUACCCAGAAUGGAUAGAGCCAGGGGGCAACAGGAGGCCAAACCAAAAAAGCCAAGUCCAUUUCAGAUCCAAUGGGAUGAAUAGUGAGGGGCAAAUUUCUAAGUUUAGAGGUGAUAUUGGACAAGGAUGAAGCUUGUUGUUGUAGGAGAAGCUGGAGAUUAAGAGUUAGGUAGUUAGUGGAUCCAAGAGUUUUGUGGUAAAAAGAACUGGGAUGUCCAGAGCUCUCUGUUCUUGAAUUUCUGGGAUUACUUAAAGAGACAGGGCUAUGGUCAGGCACGGUGGCUUGUGCCUGUAAUCCCAGCACUUUGGAAGGCCGAGGUGGGAGAAUCGCUUGUGCUCAGGAGUUCAAGCUCAGCCUGGGAAGCAUAGCAAGACCUGGCCUCCACAAAUAAUUUACAAAAUUAGCUGGGCAUGAUGGCAUGCGCCUGUAGUUCCAGCUACUCAGAAGGCCGAGGCAGGAGGAUUCCUUGAGCACUGGAGGUCAAGGCAGCAGUGGGCUAAUACUGUGCCACUGCACUUCAGCCUGGGUGACAGAGCAAGACUCUGUCUAAAAGAAAAAAAAUACAAGGCUAGGUCAGACAGUGGUGUGUAGUUCUGUGGGCACAAACAAAGAAUCAUAAAAUGUAGUCCUUGCCCCUUAAGGAACCUAUAUUCUAGCUGUGAAAGAAUAAUCACACUUUUAAAAAAAGAAUGGAGUAAGAUGAGAUUACAUUUAAUCAAAGACUAGAGUACUAGAGUACAGGUGUUUGUAGAAGAGGGUUGGGUCAAUGUGAGCUAAAGGCUUGGGAAGGUCUUGUGUGCCUCAGGGCACAGGCAGGGUUCAGAGAUCCUGGCUCAUUCACAGCCAGCAAUACAUGUCAUAUAGUCACCUCCCAUGCUAGAAACCGCAGUGAAGUCUGUGCCCAGGCUACAAUUAAUGUGAACAAAGCUAAGGACAACAGUAGAAUGCUCAGAAGAAUGCCAUCUUGACCUCAGUCAAUUCAACUUUCUCUUUCUGAAUACUGUACGAAGAAAUCUCAAUUAUCAUGAAAAUAUUCCCGGCUCUCAUAGUUGAGUAUGGGAAAGCCAAGAGCUCCCCAAACCCUAUUGUGUGGCAAGGAGUGGUGGACAAAAAUGGUUGCCUCAGAUGCAAGGUUGGCAUUUUGCCACAUUUGGAUGGCACAGGUGGAUAGGCCUUUGGGUCUGGGCAAAUUUCCCAGCUCCACCUGGGGUCUGACUCACGCUGCCUGCCUGCAAUGCCCUUUCUGUGGCAUGUUUUCUGUUCUGCUAGAUUACCUUUCACUGGUUGAAAAGACAACCUCUCAUCACUGAGAUUGAAAUGUUUAAAAAGACGACAUCUCACCACUGAGACUGCAGGCAUGCAUCUCUUGGUACUAGAUGGAGCCCUGUGUCUCCUGGUGUCUCUCCUCAGAGCACACACCUCCCCCAGUUGUGCACAUGUCAUUCUUGCACUUGUGUUAGGAGGCAUGGAAUUUUGAGUUUCUUGAGGCAUGAAGGAAGAUGUGCUCAUCAAUAACUGUCUUCCCUGCCUUUGCUUUGCCAGUAGGAGAGAGCUGGAUAAUAAAACUUGUGAUUUAUUUGGACCAACUGCAUUAGGAAUUAACAGUGGUGAUUUAAUUCCAGUAAUGCUUGACCUCUUCUUCUGCAUUUUGUCUGUUUCUUCAAGCUGUGCCCCUGCUAUAAGUGACUGAUAAUCACUAAUUCUAAACUUGCUUAAAGAGUAUAAAAGGGGCUGUGUGCAGUGGCUCAUGCCUGUAAUCCCAGCACUUCAGGAGGCUGAGAUGGGUGGAUCGAGACCAGCCUAACCAACGUAGUGAAACCCCGUCUCUUCUAAAAAUACAAAAUUAGCCUGGUGAGGUGGCGCAUGCCUGUAAUCCCAGCUACUUUGGAGGCUAAGGCAGGAGAAUCGCUUGAACCUGGGAGGCGGAGGUUGCAGUACCGGAGAUUGUGCCAUUGCACUCCAGCCUGGGCAACAAGAGUAAAACUCCAUCUCAAAAAAAAAAGAGUAUAAAAGGGUACAUGUCACCUGAAAUCUCAAUAGAAUUUUAUUUGUCACCACAUAAUUUUGUAAGACUUUCAAAAUAUUUCCUGAAUUAUUACCACAUGAUUGAAAAGUCCAGACAACUGGCUGGCUCAUUUUUUGACUGACUGACUUACCUUUACAAGUGUUUUGAGGGGACCUUGCAAUUGUAAAGUGAUGAGUUUGUUGGUCAAUUAAUUAAUUAUUUUAACACGUUUAUUGAGUAUCUAUUCUGUCAUGCUCUGUUCUAGCUGUUGGGAAUAGAGCAGUGUAUAAUACGGAAACCUGCCCUCGUUUAGGGGAGACAGAUAAAUAGAAAACAAAGGAAAGAAAGUAACUGGUGAUUUGAGCAUGAGAAGUACUGUGGAGAAAAAUCAGGGAAGGGCAUGUAGGCUGCUUGUUUGGGAAAGCAAGUAGGAAAAACAUUUCAGUUUUGAAUAUUGUUGUAUGGAAAGGCAUUGCUGAGAAAAUGACAUUAGAGCUGUCAACCUAAAUAACAGAGAGGCUUUCUAAGAGAAAAUGGUAUUUAUUUGGGAAGAGAGCAUUGCAAUGGGAAUAUAACUGCCAUGGUAAACUAUGUGUGCAUUCAGGAGAUAAAGGCAGACAUGGGUUUUUUAAGGGAAAAAUGAGGAGGGUUACAUAAUUUUUUUUGCUUGUUUUUUGAGACAGAGUCUCACUCUUUUGCCCAGGCUGAAGUGCAAUGGCCCAAUCUAUAAAGUAGUUAUAACUACCUUAUAUCCUUUUAGAAAUGGGGAGUGAUGGAUGAAUACAAACACAAUUUAAAAGAAACUGCAGUGUACUUAGUAGCCUGGAACUGGGAAGAAAGUAGCCAUGGCUUUGGAAAAAGCCACCCUCCAGCUUGACCUUGCAAGAUGAGGAUUCCCAUUUCUUCACUCUCCCUGCCGCAGCCUUUCUCCUCUUGCUUGUAUUCAGGGUUCCCUCUGGAGCUGGGGGAGGAGGAAAGAAGCAGGAUUCUCUGAAUCCUCAGCCCUGACUACUGCAGCCCAUGUGGCCACAUAGCAUGGUGGUUAGGAGCACGGACUGAGAUCAGACAAACAGUUCAUACCCUGACCACCUGGGGUCUGAGUUCUCAGCUCCAUCUGUAAAAUGAAGAUAAAAAAUAAUAGCUACCUAUUAAGAAGGAGGAGGAUUAAGUAGGAUAAUGUCCACAGAUAAAAUGCAUAGCACAGAGCUGAUACAUAUAGACACUAUGAAUGUCUUGCCUGUUAUUUUUAUUAUUUGACAUUCUUUAAUUUUGAAAAGACACACUGGACUUGAUUAAGAUCUGGCUCUUCAUUGUCUCCAGUCAAAUGUCCUGUGGCGACUCUCUGUGGUACUGACCCUUCACAUCUUGGUUUGAUAUGGCUUACUGCAAAUAAAACAAAACCAAUAUGAAUAGUGAAUAAAUCCAACAACCACAGCCAGCUUUCCACUUCCUAAAAACCUCAGUAAUGCUAAGGAUGGGGCCACACAGAGAUGCAAGGAAGAGAGGACAGUGAGGAGGGAGCUGCAUCAGGAACUACCUGUACUUUGUAACCUCAUCCCCCUCCUCCCAAUACCUGUGAGCACUUCUUCAGGUUCUGUUAGUAGAAAAUGAUGUAGCCAAAGAGGAUUGAAAAGUCCAAUUAAAUAUAUUUUACUUAAUUGUGUUAGAAUAAAAGAAAGGUUUUUUCAAAAAGCUCACGUGUUUGGUAAUUUUUUUUUCACCAUAUAAACAUGUUGAACCACUGACCUUUGUGCAGAGAGAGGGUACAGUGGAGGGAGUGUAUGGCGGUGGACUCCCAGGUGCAGGCUGUAUAAACUUUGGUCAAGUCUGAAGCUUCUACAUCUGUAAAAUGGGGAGAACAUUUUCCUCACAAGGCUGUUGAGAGGAUUGAGGCACGUGGUGUGUGGGAAGGGUCCUAGCCAGAAUAGGUUUUUAAUGAUGUUAGUGUGAUUUUUUUGAAGCCCUUUCUUCAAUUUUUUCACUUUUUUUGCCACAUCAUUGGAACUGCUUAAUUAUUCAGGAUUUUUAUAUCGAGUUUAUGGAUUAUGGAAGCCCUUUGCUAAUAGGUUUAUCUCCUGAUGACUUUUAAAACUGCAAUAUAACUGCAUAUCAGCAUGUCAAUUAUGAGAAACAGCAAACAAUUCAACAUCGAUACUGCUGAAUGCCUUGGUAAAAUGGUUUUUAUAAAAAGGAGUUUGAAAGUAUAGUUAAAAUAUAACUUCAUGUUUUUAAUGUUUAUUUGACCUAUGGACAUAGUUUGCAAGUUGAUAGUUUUUCUCACUUUUAAAGUUUUUUUUUCUGAUUAUGCACUUAUCACAAAAAUGUGAAGAUCAGAAUAAAAUCACCCAUAAUCUUAUUGCCAAGAAAUAACCACUUGUAACUUAAUUUUUUCCCUUUGAUAUGCAUAGCUCUUUAUAUGACUUUUUCCACUUAAAAGUAUAUCUUAAGUAUUUUCCCAAAUUACUAACAUUGAAAUUGCUUUCAUAAUGGAUGUACUGUGAUCUACAUAAUUAUUUUCCUAAUUUAGACAAUAAAGUUUGCCUAAGCUUCUUCACAAGAAAUGCUUUUGAAUGUGAGCUUUUGUCUGCAUUUCUAAUUAAUACCUGAGCGUGAAUUCCUAGGAGUAAAAUUAUUGGGACAAUCUUAUUUAUUAAUUGUGGUGUAACAAACCACCUUAAAACUUAGUGACUGAAAACAACACUAAUAAUUUAUUUGCUCCCAAUUUUGCAAUUUGGGAAGGGCUCUUUGGGGACAAUUUGUCUCUGUUCCACAUAAUGUUAGCUGAGGUGACUUCACUGGGGCUGGAGACCCACUUCCAAGAUAGCUCACUGAUACAGCUGACAAACUGAUGCUGGUUGGUGGCUGGAGGCAUUGAGUGCCCUCCAGAUGGACUUCUCUACUGGGUUCCAGGAGAGAGGAAGUGGAAGCUGUUAGUUCUCUUAAAGGCUAGGCACAGAACUGGCAGAGUGCCUUCCACCAUGCUCCAUUGCUCAAAGUGGUCACAGGCCAAAUUCCAGAGUGUGGUUAAAAUAGGCCACACCUCUUUCCAGGGGAUGGGUCAAAGAAUUUGUGGCCAUAAUGAAUUUACCACAAAGAGCAUAUUGUUGAAGGGUCUUUAUGCAUAUUAGCAAAUCACUUUCCAGAAAGGUUGUCUAUCAUUACACUCACCUACAUUAAAUAUUAAAAAUUUUAAAAAUCUCUACUUAUUCAUUUGGUGAAAUGUGGGAUCUCAUUGUUUUACUUUGAACUUACCUAGUGCACUUACACAGACUUGAUAAAAAUUUAUAUUUCUUCCUUUGUGUAAGAAAGAAAUAUAAAUUUCAUUUUUGGAGUCAAUUUGUUUAAGUGUUAACAAUCUUAUAGAAUUACAGGAGUUGUUUAUAUGUAUUAUUGACAUUAAGAAUGUGUCACAGUUGUAAGUAUUCCUUUCAGUUUUCUUAAUUAAAAAUAAAAAACCUCUUCCUCUUAAUUGAGAAAAAAUUAGACAAAACAAUUUCCUAUUAAAUUCACAUGAUCUUAUGAGUCCGGCUGCCGUGCAUUGAUCUCAAAACAAUGAUAUAUGUUUUACAUUUUAAUAGAAUCUUUUAAGUCAAUUUCAGUUUUACUCAUCUAACAUGUCACCAGAAACCCAGAAAUUAGUAUGAUUUAUUAAUUAUCUUUAUUUUGGAGGGACUGAAUCCAGAAAGUUUGGAUAAGUUUAUCAGAAUAAAAAUGGAGGAACAAAAAACUGUGUCAUCAUCCCUUAAUUUGCUCUUUGUACCUUAACUGGUGGGAAAGCCUCUAAACCUCCCUGAGCCUCACAUUUUUAAACUGUAAAGUAGGGUAAUAGCAGGGACACUGUGAGGCUUACAGAAGAUAUUUAUGAGGGGCCUAACAUGUAAUGGUAUGUAGUGGGCACCAUCAUUACUCACCUAAGUUCUCCGUUGUGAACCUAGGAAACGCCUUAUUUCCAGAAUAUCAGAGUAAGUUCUACAGAUGGCUUUCCAGGGGGGAAUUUGGGUUGUAUGAGUGCUGUUAUCCAGCCCACCUCAGUUGGUGUCCAUUAGUCGGUGGUAGUCGGCACCACAUGGUGUGUUGCACAGGGAUGCAAACUCGAUGCCUUGCCCUAAUGGCACAUCACUAAUGUCAGGCCACAGCUGGAGCAACUGUCUCUGGGAUUGUAUGAUACACUCCUUGAGAAUGACUCUUGAGGAGCUUCUUGGAAGAAUUUGAUGUCCAAUCUUAAUAUUCUGAGAGUUCCAUGCUAGUAUUGUGACUAAUUAUACCUUAUACCACUUGCGUGCCACUUGAUAGUUUUCACAGGACUUUAUGUGUUUUUGUCUUCUUUGAUCUUCACAGCCAUCCUGGGAGGCCAGCCAUUCAGAUAUUAUUUCCCUGUUUUACUCACGAGAAAGUCAAGGCUUGAAUGGGUUAUGACUUGCCUAAAGUUACAAAGUGAGGAAGUGCCAGUCCCAACACCAGAUGGCUCCCACAGGCCCCAUCCAGAGCAUUUCUAUUUGAUUGUAUGCUGCCUAACUCCCCACCGAGGACAUAGUAACAGAUGGCCCUGAAAUGAGGAGGUCUACAGGAUGGAUUGUUUUUCUCUUUUGCAUUAAAAUGGGUUUGCAGAGUGUAGUAGCCAGUGUGGAUUCUGGAGUCAUCUGGAGUCAUUGUCUGCAUUUGGAUGCUGGCUUUAUCACUUAGCUCUGUACCCUUUCUUGCAAAAGGAACUCAGAUAAAACAAAUGUAACUUUCUGAAGUUUUAAGACCAGAAAGGUCAAUUUCUAUGUUUAUUCAAAAGAAACUUAACCUCUCUAUGCCUCAGAUACUCCAUCUGUAAAAUGAGAAUAACACUGGUAGCUAACUCAUAGGACAGUUGGGGGAUUACAUUAGAACAUCUAUGCAAAACAAAAGCACAAGGCCCAGAACCAUAGUAAACACUAACUAAAGCCUCAGUUCUUUCUUGGUAUGAUCUGUGAAACCUUCAAAAUGUCUGUGCUACUGGCCUUUCACUAUGCUUUGUACUUCAGGCAUUGGCUUCAGGAAGGCUCUGUUAAAAGAGAACCAUCCUCCAUGAGACAAGACCUGUCCUUUCCAUGGGAGAGGCAGUCAUUGACAAGUGUCCUCCAACACAUUUUCCCAGUUUAUCAUAUUGGCACUGAAGGAACACUCAGGAUUACAUGCUUUGGGUGUGGACGCCAAGAAGUGACAAAAAAAGGAAGUUGGGAUCAUUACGGUUAACCCAAGCAUGUUGGAAACCAGAGAGAGGCUGAGUGCUAUCAUACACAGACCCAUGAAUCGGA